GGGAGGUUGGUGUAAUGGUAGCACGCGCUCCACUUGGAUAGGGAGCGAAGCUUGCGGUUCGAUUCCCAAGCCUUCCA